UACAGAGGGCCCAAGCGUUGUUCGGAUUCAUUGGGCGUAAAGGGUGCGUAGGCGGCGCGCUAAGUCAGGUGUGAAAUCUCGGAGCUUAACUCCGAAACUGCAUUUGAUACUGCCGUGCUUGAGGACUGGAGAGGAGACUGGAAUUCACGGUGUAGCGGUGAAAUGCGUAGAUAUCGUGAGGAAGACCAGUGGCGAAGGCGGGUUGCUGGGCAGACACUGACGCUGAGGCGCGAAAGCCAGGGGAGCAAACGGG
rnacentral:rRNA from 1 species